UUUAAUGCUUAUUUAUUCAUAUUGUUUUUAAUUAAUAAUGCAUUAUCUUGAAGCUUCAUUAUUUUGAUGAGAUGAAUGUUCAUAUUUAGAAUGACAUUGUAGGUUAUGUGUGAAAGGCUGUAUCUGGUUGGUUUGAAGCUAAAACAAGUAGAAUAUUUGGGCCAGAUUUGGCAUGUUUACAUGCUAAC